rnacentral:rRNA from 1 species
GAGUGGCGGACGGGUGAGUAACACGUGGGUAACCUGCCCAGAAGCAGGGGAUAACACCUGGAAACAGAUGCUAAUACCGUAUAACAGAGAAAACCGCCUGGUUUUCUUUUAAAAGAUGGCUCUGCUAUCACUUCUGGAUGGACCCGCGGCGCAUUAGCUAGUUGGUGAGGUAACGGCUCACCAAGGCGAUGAUGCGUAGCCGACCUGAGAGGGUAAUCGGCCACAUUGGGACUGAGACACGGCCCAGACUCCUACGGGAGGCAGCAGUAGGGAAUCUUCCACAAUGGACGCAAGUCUGAUGGAGCAACGCCGCGUGAGUGAAGAAGGGUUUCGGCUCGUAAAGCUCUGUUGUUAAAGAAGAACGUGGGUGAGAGUAACUGUUCACCCAGUGACGGUAUUUAACCAGAAAGCCACGGCUAACUACGUGCCAGCAGCCGCGGUAAUACGUAGGUGGCAAGCGUUAUCCGGAUUUAUUGGGCGUAAAGCGAGCGCAGGCGGUCUUUUAAGUCUAAUGUGAAAGCCUUCGGCUCAACCGAAGAAGUGCAUUGGAAACUGGGAGACUUGAGUGCAGAAGAGGACAGUGGAACUCCAUGUGUAGCGGUGAAAUGCGUAGAUAUAUGGAAGAACACCAGUGGCGAAGGCGGCUGUCUGGUCUGUAACUGACGCUGAGGCUCGAAAGCAUGGGUAGCGAACAGGAUUAGAUACCCUGGUAGUCCAUGCCGUAAACGAUGAUUACUAAGUGUUGGAGGGUUUCCGCCCUUCAGUGCUGCAGCUAACGCAUUAAGUAAUCCGCCUGGGGAGUACGACCGCAAGGUUGAAACUCAAAAGAAUUGACGGGGGCCCGCACAAGCGGUGGAGCAUGUGGUUUAAUUCGAAGCUACGCGAAGAACCUUACCAGGUCUUGACAUCUUCUGCCAACCUAAGAGAUUAGGCGUUCCCUUCGGGGACAGAAUGACAGGUGGUGCAUGGUUGUCGUCAGCUCGUGUCGUGAGAUGUUGGGUUAAGUCCCGCAACGAGCGCAACCCUUAUUACUAGUUGCCAGCAUUCAGUUGGGCACUCUAGUGAGACUGCCGGUGACAAACCGGAGGAAGGUGGGGACGACGUCAAAUCAUCAUGCCCCUUAUGACCUGGGCUACACACGUGCUACAAUGGAUGGUACAACGAGUUGCGAAACCGCGAGGUUUAGCUAAUCUCUUAAAACCAUUCUCAGUUCGGACUGUAGGCUGCAACUCGCCUACACGAAGUCGGAAUCGCUAGUAAUCGCGGAUCAGCAUGCCGCGGUGAAUACGUUCCCGGGCCUGUACACACCGCCCGUCACACCAUGAGAGUUUGUAACACCCAAAGCCGGUGGGGUAACCUUUUAGGAGCUAGCCGUCUAA